rnacentral:misc_RNA from 1 species
AUGUGCACGUCCAACCUUUUCUAUUACACACCCGUGCACCUUUUGUAGGUCCUCGAAAGAGGAUCUAUGUAUUUCAUCAUCACACCUAUCGUAUGUCUAGAAUGUCAUCGUCGACCACUGGGCGGCGAAAUAAAUAAUACAACUUUCAGCAACGGAUCUCUUGGCUCUCGCAUCGAUGAAGAACGCAGCGAAUUGCGAUAAGUAAUGUGAAUUGCAGAUUUUCAGUGAAUCAUCGAAUCUUUGAACGCACCUUGCGCUCCUUGGUAUUCCGAGGAGCAUGCCUGUUUGAGUGUCAUUAAAUUCUCAACCAUGACUUUGUUGACAUGGCUUGGAGUUGGGGGUUGCUGGCUUGUUUGUCAGCUCUCCUGAAAUACAUUAGCGGUGGACAAGCAAGGCCUUCCGACGUGAUAAUGAUCGUCGUGGGGCGGAGCAUCAACGUCUGUCUGCUUCUAAAUCCCAGAUGCCUUAGCUAGACAUCAUUUCGAACGCUUGACCUCAAAUCAGGUAGGACUACCCGCUGAACUUAAGCAUAUCAAU